rnacentral:lncRNA from 1 species
AUAGCUGACCAUCAGUCAUACAAAAAACAAAAAUAAAAAUAACAAAAUUUCGUUAAACAAAUCCACCUUCUGUUUGCAAGAGAAUAGCAAGUGCCACUCUAACCCAUGCAAGCAGUUGGCUUAGGCCAUGAUGCAACACAAAUGCGCCAAUAAUAUAAUGUUUCGCAAUUUUAGUCACAUUCCAUUACGUCACCCUAGUUCAACCAAAACAACCCACCCC